rnacentral:rRNA from 1 species
UACGUAGGGUGCAAGCGUUACUCGGAAUUACUGGGCGUAAAGCGUGCGCAGGCGGUUUUGUAAGUCUGUCGUGAAAUCCCCGGGCUUAACCUGGGAAUGGCGAUGGAGACUGCAAGGCUAGAGUUUGGCAGAGGGGGGUAGAAUUCCACGUGUAGCAGUGAAAUGCGUAGAUAUGUGGAGGAAUACCGAUGGCGAAGGCAGCCCCCUGGGAUAACACUGACGCUCAGGCACGAAAGCGUGGGGAGCAAACAGG